rnacentral:lncRNA from 1 species
UCUAUCCAAAUAAGAAUAAGGUACGUACCUUUCUUCUUUAUCCUUCUCAUUUCUUUCCAAAUAAGGGUUCAUUAAUUCUCUUAUCCUCCCCUCCUCUUAUCUCGUGUAUAUCUAAUCAAAAUAGGCUGUAAGAGUUAAGAAAAGCAAAGUAAGGCAGGGACAAACAGAGAGAUUCAAAAAAUGAUGCAGUAUAAUUUGUUUUAAUAAUAGAUAAUUGAUCAUUAUCCAAUAUAAAAUUUUCAUCAUAGUCUCACAGGAUAAUCAGCAGAAAAAAAAAAGACUGAAUAUAAACUUUUAGAAGCAAACGGGAA